AUCUUCGGCAAUGGGCGCAAGCCUGACCGAGCGACGCCGCGUGUGCGAUGAAGGCCCUUCGGUUGUAAAGCACUGUCGAGAGGAAGCAAGCCGCAAGGUUGAGCGACCUCUGGAGGAAGCACGGGCUAAGUUCGUGCCAGCAGCCGCGGUAAGACGAACCGUGCGAACGUUGUUCGGAAUCACUGGGCUUAAAGGGCGCGUAGGCGGGAUGGCAAGUCGGAGGUGAAAGCCCCCAGCUUAACUGGGGAAGUGCCCUCGAUACUGCCGUUCUCGAGAGAGGUAGGGGCGUGUGGAACUUCCGGUGGAGCGGUGAAAUGCGUAGAUAUCGGAAGGAACGCCGGUGGCGAAAGCGAUGCGCUGGACCUUUUCUGACGCUGAGGCGCGAAAGCCAGGGUAGCGAACGGGAUUAGAUACCCCGGUAGUCCUGGCCCUAAACGAUGGGUACUGGGUUGCGGGUCAGACAUGGACUCGCAGCCGAAGCAAAAGUGGUAAGUACCCCGCCUGGGGAGUAUGGUCGCAAGGCUGAAACUCAAAGGAA
rnacentral:rRNA from 1 species